rnacentral:rRNA from 1 species
GAUGAACGCUGGCGGUAUGCUUAACACAUGCAAGUCGUACGAAGUGCGAUGGGGUUUACUCUAUCGUAUGGCAGUGGCGGACGGGUGCGUAACGCGUAAGAACUUACCUUUUGGCGAGGGACAACCGCGGGAAACUGCGGCUAAUACCUCAUAGAGCUGAGGAGCGAAAGGUGAAAACCACCAAAAGAGAGGCUUGCGUCUGAUUAGCUAGUUGGUGAGGGUAAUGGCCUCCCAAGGCGACGAUCAGUAGCUGGUCUGAGAGGAUGAUCAGCCACACUGGAACUGAGACACGGUCCAGACUCCUACGGGAGGCAGCAGUGAGGAAUUUUCCGCAAUGGGCGCAAGCCUGACGGAGCAAUACCGCGUGGAGAGGAAGGCCCGUGGGUCGUAACUCCUUUCUCA